rnacentral:lncRNA from 1 species
UGUGUCAACUUGACACAGCUGGAGUUAUCACAGAGAAAGGAGCUUCAGUUGAGGAAAUGCCUCCAUGAGAUCCAACUGUAAGGCAUUUUCUCAAUUAGUGAUCAAGGGGGAAAGGCCUCUUGUGGGUGGGACUAUCUCUGGGCUGGUAGUCUUGGGUUUUAUAAGAGAGCAGGCUGAGCAAGCCAGGUGAGGCAAGCCAGUAAAGAACAUCCCUCCAUGGCCUCUGCAUCAGCUCCUGCUUUCUGACCUGCUUGAGUUCCAGUCCUGACUUCCUUGCUGAUGAACAGCAGUAUUGAAGUGUAAGCCAAAUAAACCCUUUCCUCCCCAACUUGCUUCUUGGUCAUGAUGUUUGUGCAGGAAUAGAAACUCUGACUAAGACAGAAGUGUAAUAAAAGAAUGACCUUCUUUUUAUAGACCCUUGAAGAUAAAAACAACUUUCUUUAGAAAGAUGACUGUCAGGGCCUUGUGUUUCCACAGUGAUGGGAAGCAAACUUGUGUAAGAAAGAAUUUUCAACCUCAGCUUACCUCCAUUGUCUAUUUUAUUUCCCCUUUUUAGUGAGAUUCAAGCAUCCUCCCUUGAGACCUCCUUGUUGUUUAGCUUCUUUGGGUCUGUGGAUUAUAGCAUCCUGUGUUUUAUGCUGAUUUCCAUUUAUAAGUGAAUACAUACCAUGACAUCUUUCUAGGUCUGAGUUCCCUCACUCAGGAUGAUUUUUCUAGUAUCAUUCAUUUUCCUGCAAAUUUCAUGAUGCCUUUGUUUUUAAUAGCUGAGUAGUGCUCCAUUGUGUAAGUGUACCACAUUUUCUCUAUCCAUUCUUCGAUUGAGUGGGGGAGCAUGGGGGAAGGGGCAGCAGUCAGGAUGUUAACUGGAUAAAUAAGUAAAUUAAUGGAAAAAUAAGAAAGAAGUUUCAAGCGCUGAACUUAGCAAAUCUGAAUCCUUGUUCCUCAUCCUCUUAAUUGUGCCUUGGCAAAUUUAAAAAAUCUUCCAUGCCUCAGAUUUACUAAUUCUAAUAAGGCUGUUUAGUAGGGCAGUUGUCCACCUUCACAGGAAAUCACAGUAUAGGCUUGGGGUUCAUUUAGAAAUACUUUUCUGAGUUUUUUUUUUUUUAAGCAGAAAUUCUUUUAUUCGCUGAGCUAUCUUGUCCAUCACAAUUGAACUUAUUUUUUUUUUUACUUAUAUAUUUUCUUUAUACAUUUCAAAUGCUGUCCUGAAAGUUCCCUAUACCCUCCCCCCACCCUGCUUCCCUACCCACUCACUCCCACUUCUUGGCCCUGGCUUUCCCCUGUACUGGGGCAUAUAAAGUUUGCAAUACCAAGGGACCUCUCUUCCCAGUGAUGGCCGACUAGGCUAUCUUCUGCUACAUAUGCAGCUAGAGUCAAGAGCUCCGGGGUACUGGUUAGUUCAUAUUGUUGUUCCACCUAUAGGGUUGCAGACCCCUUCAGCUCCUUGGGUGCUUUCUCUAGUUUCUCCAUUGGGGGCCCUGUGUUCCAUCUUAUAGAUGACUGUGAGCAUCGCGAGCAGGAUCCUCACUGUAGUUACGCUACCAAGAGAUCAUGUGACCUUGGAAAGGUUGUCAGUCUAUGUGCUUUCUAACUCUAUUCUAAUGAGAACUUUGUAACUUGAUGAGCAUUUUAUUAAAAGAAUAAUAAAUUAUAGAAGCCAACCAACUGAAAACUUGACUUGCUGAAAUUCCCAGCCCCUCUACCAAGACACUUUAUUUUGUAAAUGG